rnacentral:rRNA from 1 species
UACGGAGGGUGCGAGCGUUGUCCGGAAUCACUGGGCGUAAAGGGCGCGUAGGCGGCGCGGGAAGUCCGUGGUGAAAGCCCGAGGCUCAACUUCGGGUCGGCCAUGGAUACUCCUGGGCUCGAGCACUGUAGAGGCAGGUGGAAUUCCGGGUGUAGCGGUGGAAUGCGUAGAGAUCCGGAAGAACACCGGUGGCGAAGGCGGCCUGCUGGGCAGUGACCGUAAGGUCUUAAAAGCUGACGCUGAGGCGCGACAGCGUGGGGAGCGAACAGG